rnacentral:rRNA from 1 species
UGGGGAAUAUUGGGCAAUGGGCGAAAGCCUGACCCAGCAACGCCGCGUGAAGGAUGAAGUAUUUCGGUAUGUAAACUUCGAAAGAAUGGGAAGAAUAAAUGACGGUACCAUUUAUAAGCUCCGGCUAACUACGUGCCAGCAGCCGCGGUAAUACGUAGGGAGCAAGCGUUGUUCGGAUUUACUGGGCGUAAAGGGCGCGUAGGCGGCGCGGUAAGUCACUUGUGAAAUCUCCGAGCUUAACUCGGAACGGUCAACUGAUACUGUCAAACUAGAGUACAGAAGGGGCAAUCGGAAUUCUUGGUGUAGCGGUGAAAUGCGUAGAUAUCAAGAGGAACACCUGAGGCGAAGGCGGGUUGCUGGGCUGAUACUGACGCUGAAGCGCGAAAGCUAGGGUAGCAAACGGGAUUAGAUACCCACGUAGUCCCUGAGCGGGCUGGCAAGGCGCAU